ensembl:lncRNA
CUGGAUUAAAAUGUCCUUGUGAUUACUGUGUAGAAAGAGGGAGGUUUCAUGACCCUUUAACAGAGAGCCUGACAGAGUGAAAGUGAAAGUGAAAGUGAAUUUAACAGCCUUCCUGUCUCUCUAAAUGGAUUCUCAAGAGAGCGUUGAUCCUCGACUGACCCUUUAAGCAUGGCGUAAUAGAAUUCCUCAAUGUAUAUAAGAUAUAUAAAGAAGACGAAAGUACUCUCUUUGUGUAUUAACAUGAGUUGUAACGGCCACCUAAUGUUAAAUACUGAAUGUUCAUGACCCGUUAAGAUGACGUCUUCUAUGGUGUACAUUAUUGCGUGAACCAUUCUAUAAAGACUCGUGGGACUACCGGUUCAUUUGCCUCGGGUUUUCCUUCUUGUCUUCUGUUCUUAUCUUUCAUCCGAGCAGACUUCGAAACCCUCUGACAGAUGUUACAGUGUGUAAAAAUGUCUGCUGCAUGUGACAUUUCUUACAUCGAGGUCUUUUACAAUUAUUAAUGCCAGGACUAAAAUGGAAGCGCAGUAUAGAUUUGAUAUGCACACGUUCAUGAGUUAGAAAACAUAUUCCACUUAAUUGUCCAUCAUACACCAACAAAAGGAAUUAUUUCUGCACAAAAGGCGGUAGAGAUAUAAAAGUAUGAAAAUUUCAUAUCAUGAUUAUCACGAGCAAUACUAUCACGGUUAUCAGUAUUAUCACGGUGUUGUUAAAUUGUGCUGAAAAAUGGACAAAAAGUACUGAUACACACACUGAAAUCAUUUAAACAGGUUUAUAUUUGAUUAUAAAGUGAUGGACGGUUGUCACUGGGCUUGCUGUGAUCAUUUAGUUCAGUUAGAGAACAUGGCGGAAGGUAGUGACGGGGCUUGGGGGAAUAUCCGACCUUCCACGAGGACCAAAUCCGAAGUGUGGUCAUAUUUUGGAUUUUAUAUGAAUGCUGAGGGAAACUUAAUAGAAGAUGGUAAUCCUGUCUACAGAGCUUGCCAGAAGAAAGUUUCUCUGAUUAUAAAUAUCUAAAUAUAUAUUUCCAUCCAUCCAUCCAUCCAUCUUCUACCGCUUACUCCUUCUUCAGGGUCACGGGGAACCUGGAGCCUAUCCCAGGGAACAUCGGGCACAAGGCGGGGUACACCCUGGACAGGGUGCCAAUCCAUCGCAGGGCACAAUCACACACACUCACACACCCAUUAAAUGUUUAUUUAUUUAUUUAUUUAUUUAUUUAUUUAUUUAUUUAUUUAUGUGAUGCUAAUACUAUGUCUGUUCCAGUGUAUUGAAGUCUGCAUUCAUGGUAAACGGUUUUGAAAGCUUUUAACCCAGGUAACAAUCACAAGCAUGACUACAACACAAAACACAACAAUACCCACUCCAAAACCCGCACCGAUUCCCACACCAAAACCCACACCAAUACCCACACCAAUCGCCAGGAAAAUGCCCAGAACAAGCAAUAUCCUGAUACAUCUGUGACGCACCUGCAAAAAAAAAAAAAAAAAAAGAUUAAAAAUAAGACCAAAUAUGUCUCAGAUAAAUUAUUCUCUGAGGAAAUAUUUCCUUUAUAUAAAACACACUGCACAUGCAAAAUACAGUGAAAUGAUCAUUUUAAACCAGAGUAGUUUCUGACCAGAAGGUGGCGGUAGAGCCUGUGUGUUUUCUGUUCAGCAUAUUGCAGUUCACUAAACUGAAAUAUGAGCAGUUGCCGAGCCAGCAAGGUCAUUUAAUACAGGGUUCAGGUGUUCAGGUGUAUUGAGAGAUGGACUGGGAGUCCUUGCAUGGUGAGUUUCAGUUUGCUAACUAAACAGCACACUAGCUCAUUAGCUAGACAACAUAGCUGUACAUGGUUUGGGGUUUCUCCGUAACAUGUCGAGCUUAUUUAGUAUUUUAUUCACCACUGUAUGAU